rnacentral:rRNA from 1 species
UACCAGCACCCCGAGUGGUCGGGACGUUAUUGGGCCUAAAGCAUCCGUAGCCGGUUCUACAAGUCUUCCGUUAAAUCCAACUGCUUAACAGGUGGGCUGCGGAAGAUACUAUAGAGCUAGGAGGCGGGAGAGGCAAGCGGUACUCGAUGGGUAGGGGUAAAAAUCCGUUGAUCCAUUGAAGACCACCAGUGGGCGAAGGCGGCUUGCCAGAACGCGCUCGACGUGAGGGAUGAAAGCUGGGGGGAGCAAACCGG